GAGUUUUGAAUCAUGGCUCAAGGACGAAACGCUGGCGGCGUGCUUAACACACGCAAGUUCGAACGAAUGAAGCUCUAGCUUGCUAGGCGGAUUAGUCGGCGAAACGGGUCGAGUAAUACGUCGAGUCGACCUACCUUUCGACUCUGGGAUAAGCCUGGGAAAACUCGGGUCUAAUAGCCGGAAUACGACCAAUCUCCGCAUGGGGUGUUGGUGGAAAAGCGUUAUGGAGUGGUUUUAGAUGGGCUCACGGCCUAUCAGCUUGUUGGUGAGGUAAUGGCUUACCAAGGCGACGACGGGUAGCCGGCCUGAGAGGGUGACCGGCCACACUGGGACUGAGACACGGCCCAGACUCCUACGGGAGGCAGCAGUGGGGAAUAUUGCACAAUGGGCGCAAGCCUGAUGCAGCGACGCCGCGUGAGGGAUGACGGCCUUCGGGUUGUAAACCUCUGUUAGCAUCGAAGAAGCGAAAGUGACGGUAGGUGCAGAGAAAGCGCCGGCUAACUACGUGCCAGCAGCCGCGGUAAUACGUAGGGCGCGAGCGUUGUCCGGAAUUAUUGGGCGUAAAGAGCUUGUAGGCGGUUGGUCGCGUCUGCUGUGAAAGGCUGGGGCUUAACCCUGGUUUUGCAGUGGGUACGGGCUAACUAGAGUGCAGUAGGGGAGACUGGAAUUCCUGGUGUAGCGGUGGAAUGCGCAGAUAUCAGGAGGAACACCGAUGGCGAAGGCAGGUCUCUGGGCUGUAACUGACGCUGAGAAGCGAAAGCAUGGGGAGCGAACAGGAUUAGAUACCCUGGUAGUCCAUGCCGUAAACGUUGGGCACUAGGUGUGGGGGACAUUCCACGUUUUCCGCGCCGUAGCUAACGCAUUAAGUGCCCCGCCUGGGGAGUACGGCCGCAAGGCUAAAACUCAAAGAAAUUGACGGGGGCCCGCACAAGCGGCGGAGCAUGCGGAUUAAUUCGAUGCAACGCGAAGAACCUUACCAAGGCUUGACAUAUACUGGACUGCGUCAGAGAUGGCGUUUCCCUUCGGGGCUGGUAUACAGGUGGUGCGUGGUUGUCGUCAGCUCGUGUCGUGAGAUGUUGGGUUAAGUCCCGCAACGAGCGCAACCCUCGUUCUAUGUUGCCAGCACGUGAUGGUGGGGACUCAUAGGAGACUGCCGGGGUCAACUCGGAGGAAGGUGGGGAUGACGUCAAAUCAUCAUGCCCCUUAUGUCUUGGGCUUCACGCAUGCUACAAUGGCCGGUACAGAGGGUUGCGAUACUGUGAGGUGGAGCUAAUCCCUAAAAGCCGGUCUCAGUUCGGAUUGGGGUUCUGCAAACUCGACCCCAUGAAGUUCGGAGUCGCUAGUAAUCGCAGGAUCAGCAACGCUGCGGUGAAUACGUUUCCCGGGCCCUUGUACACACCGCCCG
rnacentral:rRNA from 1 species